GAUUCCGUAGUGUAGCGGUUAUCACAUCUUCCUAACACGCAGAAGGUCCCCUGUUCGAGGCCGGGUGGAAUCA
rnacentral:tRNA from 1 species